CACGCUAUCCACACUCCUCAACCAGGUUUUCUUUUGUAGAGAGAGAAAGAGAGAACAAGAAAGGCAGAAAACCUCAUCCCCAAAUACCCAUUUCAUCGCCUCCCUUUUAGAUCUGAGACCUACAACGCUCUCUCCUUCAAAUUCAUGUCCGCCACCGCUACAAUAACCACCGCUGAAACCAGUUGCAACCAUCUUCCAUCGAUCUUGCCGCUAGGGUUCAACCAUUUCCCACCGCUGAAACAGUUGCAACCAUCUUCCAUGGAAAAAAAUGAUGUUCGUACCCCAAGCAUGUGUUGCUUCAGAUGUGAAGGAAUCGGUAGUUGGUGGUGUACAAACAAUGCAUAGAAUAGUAGAGGACAAGUUUCACGAUGGAUAUGUUAUGCAGGGAAAAUUUUACAUAUACGACUUUUGGAUGACGUUAUAAGCUCCAUCAAUGGAUGGUAUAUGGAGCGUGGCCUUUUUGGCUUGGUAUUUCCAGGGCUAGCUGUUUAAGGUUCAUAUAACCUUAUGAAUCUUGAAUGACUCAAUUUGGUUAAAGUCUAUCGGGAACAAGUUAGGAAUGGCGCCUUCGACUGAAGAACGGGCCGCUGAAGCCAAGUUUAACGAGGAUGGAAAUACAGGUUUGAAGAAUCAGGCUAAGUAAGAUGAUGAAGCAGUUGCAGUUGUUGAAGGGGGAUUGUGCGGUAUGCAAGUCUACAUGCUCAUCAUGGUAGGACAGGAAGCUAGAGGGAUGAUUUGGAUCCUUGCGUAUGUGGGGUAUGCAAGUGUACAUGCUCAACUUUACUUACCUCCAAAAUAUGGAUUGUACUUGAGUUUUGUUCCACCUCUUAUAUAUGCGUUCAUUGGUAGCUCGAGAGAUAUUGCAAUGGGCCCUGUGGCAGUGGUCUCUCUGUUGCUUGGAACUUUGUUACGAGAUGAGGUUGAGCCAAAUACACCUGAAUAUUUAUGUCUUGCUUUCACUGCAACAUUCUUUGCUGGAGUCACUCAAGCUGCACUCGGGUUUUUCAGAUUGGGUUUUCUGAUCGAUUUUCUGUCACAUGCUGCGAUUGUGGGGUUCAUGGGAGGAGUGGUCGUUACCAUUGCGCUUCAGCAACUUAAAGGGUUGUUAGGGAACAAGGAUUUAAAAAAAAAGACUGAUUUAGUUCAUGACCAACUUACUAAACUAAAACUUGUGUUCAUAAAAUAGAAAAUGGAAAAUAGAACUGACAAGACUAAAACUUGUGUUCAUAAAAUAGAAAAUGGAAAAUAGAACUGACAAGUGUGAAAACAUUAUUAUUUUAAAUUAUUUGGUUUUAUGUUAUUUGGAUUUUUUUUUUUUAAAUCAUACAUCAUAUUUUUUAAUAUAUUUUAAAUUUAACUUUUUUAAGCCCGUGUGUCACACGGGAUAUAAGCUAGUAGUAUAGAUAUAGAUAAACAAGGGCAAAACUGUAAAAGAAAGUUUACCAAUAUGACCGUUGGGAUGGGAGCUCUUUCCCCCUUUAAAUACAAACAAAUCCGUUGAAGAAUUUUGUUAUAAAAUAAAUCACGUUUCCAAACAAAGCAUAAAGAAAAUUGUACAGUUGAUUCAAAUCACAAACCACCAUUCGAUCCUUACAUACAAUCUCCUCUGUUUGUUUGAAGGUAUUCUUGUUCCUUCAAUCCCUAAUUUUAUUUACUCCCUUCUUUGUGUUUCAAUUACAGAUAUCGAUUUGUUCGUUUAAAACCCCUUUUUAUUUUAAUUUUUAGGGUUUUUUCUUCUCGUUUAUGGUGUAUGAUCUUGGUUUUGGUGUCGAGAUAUUGUCGUUCGAUUAAUUUUGAAGUUUGAAUUCAAGACGUAUGAUUGUUGAUUUUAACUGAAACAAAACCCUAGUUUCGUUAGGGUUUUGAAAUAUCAUAUUGUAAGUAAUUGAACAAAAUUGAGUCUAUAUGAUUUCAGAUGCGUGAAUGAUUUACCUCGAUGAAACUGAAUACAACAGACAUUCAGAUUUGAUUUAAAUCUUUGCCCAAAAUUAGUUAGUUAGGGUUUUUACUUAAUUUAUCAUAAAUAGCAUGUUGUAAUUUGUACAAACUGAAUCUUGAUCUUGAUAUUUCUCCCCUAAAUGAUUUAAGAUUUUGCUGGUAGUAUAAAACCCUAGUUCUUGAAAAAUCUUUUGAUAUAUGAAUUUGUUCUGUUAUGAAUAUUCCUUUUUUUUUUCACAAUUUGGGAGACUAAUACUCAUAAAUAUAUGAAUUUGGUUUCUUUUUGGCUUUGUGCAGACUCAAAAAAAUGGCAAUGCAUGCUAGCCGUUUGACUCAAGACGAGAAUCUCAAUGUACACUUUGAUGGGGUGGUCAAGAUCAAUGGGUCUAUUGCUCAAAAGAACAAAAGGGGUCCUGUUAAGCACUUGGUGACCUUACUAAUUCGGCUAUUAUACCGUCUUCUCAGAAAAAUGGUUUGAAAAAAAUGAGUCAAAGAAAGAAAGCAAUAGCUUUUGCUGAAAAUGAAAAGUUUCCGUACUCUAUUGCUGAAGAGGGUUUCAAUCACAAUCACGAUGAAUGUAUCAAACAACAGACGCAAUCAGUGGGAUUGAGUGAGUUCUUAAGUAGCCUUGGGUUUUAUGAAGAUGCUUGUUUUCAAUCUGUGUCACCGAAAGAAGUAAAGGAUGAAAGUGCUAUGAUGAUCUUUGAGGUGGAGGAGAUCCUCGAGCCGAUAUUUGAAGAUCGUGUUCAUGGUGGGAUGAUGUCCCCGAUCUUUGGAAGCCCGGGUUCUCCAAAGCUAUACGAUGAUGACGAUUUUCCUAGCUUUGCAAAAACUAUGUCCUAGUAGUUAAAGUUGAAUGGAUAGUCAAACUAUAUUGACUACUGUAGUUAAUAAAUAGAUAAAGAAGCUUGUUUUGUUGAUGAUGUUGGGUAGACUAAUCUUUAGUUUUUGCCAAACUUCAAGUGCCUUGGCUGUUUUGGUUGUUUUGUGUUUCCUUUGUACGUGUUCUUAUGGAUGUGGAACAACAUAAUAAUAAUAAUCAUCCUUAAAACC